rnacentral:rRNA from 1 species
AUUGAACGCUGGCGGCAGGCCUAACACAUGCAAGUCGAACGAGUGGCGGACGGGUGAGUAAUGUCUGGGAAACUGCCUGAUGGAGGGGGAUAACUACUGGAAACGGUAGCUAAUACCGCAUACCAUCAGAUGUGCCCAGAUGGGAUUAGCUUGGUGGUGGGGUAACGGCUCACCAAGGCGACGAUCCCUAGCUGGUCUGAGAGGAUGACCAGCCACACUGGAACUGGUACACGGUCCCGACUCCUACGGGAGGCAGCAGUGGGGAAUAUUGCACAAUGGGGGCCAGCCUUAUGGAGCCCUUCCGCGUUGUUGAAGAAGGCCUUCGGGUUGUAAAGUUCUUUCCGCGGGGAGGCGUUACCCGCAGAAGAAGCACCGGCUAACUCCGUGCCAGCAGCCGCGGUAAUAC